AUGGGAAAGAAAUGCAAAAAAGCAAAAUGGCUGUCUGGGGAGGCCUUACAAAUAGCUGUGAAAAGAAGAGAGGCAAAAAGCAAAGGAGAAAAGGAAAGAUAUAAGCGUCUGAAUGCAGAGUUCCAAAGAAUAGCAAGAAGAGAUAAGAAAGCCUUCUUCAGCGAUCAGUGCAAAGAAAUAGAGGAAAACAACAGAAUGGGGAAGACUAGAGAUCUCUUCAAGAAAAUUAGAGAUACCAAGGGAACAUUUCAUGCAAGGAUGGGCUCGAUAAAGGAUAGAAAUGGUAUGGACCUAACAGAAGCAGAAGAUAUUAAGAAGAGGUGGCAAGAAUACACGGAAGAACUGUACAAAAAAGACCUUCAUGACCCAGAUAAUCAUGAUGAUGUGAUCACUAAUCUAGAGCCAGACAUCUUGGAAUGUGAAGUCAAGUGGGCCUUAGAAAGCAUUACUAUGAACAAAGCUAGUGGAGGUGAUGGAAUUCCAGUGGAGCUGUUUCAAAUCCUGAAAGAUGAUGCUGUGAAAGUGCUGCACUCAAUAUGCCAGCAAAUUUGGAAACCUCAGCAGUGGCCACGGGACUGGAAAAGGUCCAUUUUCAUUCCAAUCCCAAAGAAAGGCAAUGCCAAAGAAUGCUCAAACUACCGCACAAAUGCACUCAUCUUACAUGCUAGUAAAGAAAUGCUCAAAAUUCUCCAAGUCAGGCUUCAGCAAUACGUGAACCGUGAACUCCCUGAUGUUCAAACUGGUUUUAGAAAAGGCAGAGGAACCAGAGACCAAAUUGCCAACAUCCGCUGGAUCAUGGAAAAAGCAAGAGAGUUCCAGAAAAACAUCUAUUUCUGCUGUAUUGACUAUGCCAAAGCCUGUGACUGUGUGGACCACAAUAAACUGUGGACAAUUCUGAAAGAGAUGGGAAUACCAGACCACCUGACCUGCCUCUUGAGAAAUCUGUAUGCAGGUCAGAAAGCAACAGUUAGAACUGGACAUGGAACAACAGACUGGUUCCAAAUAGGAAAAGGAGUACGUCAAGGCUGUAUAUUGUCACCCUGCUUAUUUAACUUAUAUGCAGAGUAUAUCAUGAGAAAUGCUGGACUGGAAGAAACACAAGCUGGAAUCAAGGUUGCUGGGAGAAAUAUCAAUAACCUCAGAUAUGCAGAUGACACCAUCCUUAUGGCAGAAAGUGAAGAAGAGCUAAAAAGCCUCUUGAUGAAAGUGAAAGAGGAGAGCGAAAAGGUUGGCCUAAAGCCCAACAUUCAGAAAACGAAGAUCAUGGCAUCUGGUCCCAUCACUUCCUGGGAAAUAGAUGGGGAAACAGUGGAAACAGUGUCAAACUUUAUUUUGGGGGGCUCCAAAAUCACUGCAGAUGGUGACUGCAGCCAUGAAAUUAAAAGGCACUUACUCCUUGGAAGGAAAGUUAUGACCAACCUAGAUGGUAUAUUCAAAAGCAGAGACAUUACUUUGCCAACAAAGGUCUGUCUAGUCAAGGCUAUGGUUUUUCCAGUGGUCAUGUAUGGAUGUGAGAGCUGGACUGUGAAGAAACCUGAGCGCCGAAGAAUUGAUGCUUUUGAAGUGUGGUGUUGGAGAAGACUCUUGGGAGUCCCUUGGACUGCAAGGAGAUCCAACCAGUCCAUUCUGAAGGAGAUCAGCCCUGGGAUUUCUUUGGAAGGAAUGAUGCUAAAGCUGAAACUACAGUACUCUGGCCACCUCAUGUGA
rnacentral:lncRNA from 1 species